rnacentral:rRNA from 1 species
ACAACGGAGAGUUUGAUCCUGGCUCAGGAUGAACGCUAGCGGCAGGCUUAACACAUGCAAGUCGAGGGGUAACAGGAGAGCUUGCUCUCGCUGACGACCGGCGCACGGGUGCGUAACACGUAUGCAACUUGCCCUAUACUGGGGAAUAGCCCGGAGAAAUCCGGAUUAAUGCCCCAUACCACGGGAGAUGGCAUCUUCUUCCGUUGAAAGCUCCGGCGGUAUAGGAUAGGCAUGCGGCCGAUUAGCUAGUAGGUGAGGUAAUGGCUCACCUAGGCUACGAUCGGUAGGGGGCCUGAGAGGGUUAUCCCCCACACUGGUACUGAGACACGGACCAGACUCCUACGGGAGGCAGCAGUGAGGAAUAUUGCGCAAUGGAGGCAACUCUGACGCAGCCAUGCCGCGUGAGUGAAGAAGGCCCUAGGGUUGUAAAGCUCUUUCAGAUGCGA